GCCCCCGUAGCCCAAUGGCAGAGGCAGAGGUCUUAAACACCUCUCAGUGUCAGUUCGAGUCUGACCGGGGGCACCC
rnacentral:tRNA from 1 species